rnacentral:rRNA from 1 species
UGGAUUGUGGUGAAAAAGCUUUUGCGGUGUGGGAUGGGCCCGCGGCCUAUCAGCUUGUUGGUGGGGUGAUGGCCUACCAAGGCGACGACGGGUAGCCGGCCUGAGAGGGUGUCCGGCCACACUGGGACUGAGAUACGGCCCAGACUCCUACGGGAGGCAGCAGUGGGGAAUAUUGCACAAUGGGCGCAAGCCUGAUGCAGCGACGCCGCGUGGGGGAUGACGGCCUUCGGGUUGUAAACCUCUUUCAGCAGGGACGAAGGGUGACUGACGGUACCUGUAGAAGAAGCACCGGCCAACUACGUG